rnacentral:rRNA from 1 species
CUGCCGGUGACAAACCGGAGGAAGGCGGGGAUGACGUCAAGUCAUCAUGGCCCUUACGGGUAGGGCUACACACGUGCUACAAUGGCCGAUACAGAGGGCGGCGAAGGGGCGACCUGGAGCAAAUCCUUAAAAGUCGGUCGUAGUCCGGAUUGGAGUCUGCAACUCGACUCCAUGAAGUCGGAAUCGCUAGUAAUCGCGAAUCAGCAUGUCGCGGUGAAUACGUUCCCGGGCCUUGUACACACCGCCCGUCACACCAUGGGAGUGGGUUGCACCAGAAGUAGAUAGUCUAACCUUCGGGGGGACGUUUACCACGGUGUGGUUCAUGACUGGGGUGAAGUCGUAACAAGGUAGCCGUAGGGGAACCUGCGGCUGGAUCACCUCCUUAC